GGCGGGCGGGCGGGCGGGCGGCUGAAAGGCGCUUUCUCUGCGAGGUGCGGGCGGCCGGAGCGGCGGAGGGAUACGACGCACGGGGAGGAGGGGCUGCGGCUAUGGGGGGGGGGGGGAGGAGGGAGGGAGGGAAGGAAGGAAGGCAGGCGAGGAGGGGAGGGGGGGCGGUGGGGAGGCUGGAAGUUACCGAGUUUCAGUGUCGCAGAAAUGGGGAAGCGAGCGGAGCCAAAAUGCCCCCGGGGAGCGCGGCCCCGCUGGGGGAGGCGGUCUGAGGAGAGCACGGCCCUCCUCCUUUCCUCCCCCCCCACGCCACCACCUCUCCCCCCCCCCCCCCCCCCCCCCCGCCGCCAGGCCCCUCCGGCGGCCGCGGGCUCCCUCAGAGCCUCGGGGCGUUGCGGCUUUGGCAUCUGCGCACGCGCAGGACUGACGAAUCUCCUGGCUUCUGGGAGCGAUGGCAAGAGGAGGAGUGUUGUCAACGCGAGGACCAGCGAGGGAUGGUGAUGCCCGCAACCUAUGGCUGAACCGAAGG